rnacentral:rRNA from 1 species
UUUUAUGGAGAGUUUGAUCCUGGCUCAGGACGAACGCUGGCUGCGUGCUUAACACAUGCAAGUCGAACGCUGAAGCCGGGUGCUUGCACCUGGUGGAUGAGUGGCGAACGGGUGAGUAACACGUGAGUAACCUGCCCCUGAUUUCGGGAUAAGCCUGGGAAACCGGGUCUAAUACCGGAUACGACCGGAGAAGGCAUCUUCUCUGGUGGAAAGUUUUUCGAUUGGGGAUGGGCUCGCGGCCUAUCAGUUUGUUGGUGGGGUAAUGGCCUACCAAGGCGACGACGGGUAGCCGGCCUGAGAGGGCGACCGGCCACACUGGGACUGAGACACGGCCCAGACUCCUACGGGAGGCAGCAGUGGGGAAUAUUGCACAAUGGGGGAAACCCUGAUGCAGCGACGCAGCGUGCGGGAUGACGGCCUUCGGGUUGUAAACCGCUUUCAGUAGGGAAGAAGCCUUUGUGGUGACGGUACCUGCAGAAGAAGUACCGGCUAACUACGUGCCAGCAGCCGCGGUAAUACGUAGGGUACGAGCGUUGUCCGGAAUUAUUGGGCGUAAAGAGCUCGUAGGUGGUUGGUCACGUCUGCUGUGGAAACGCAACGCUUAACGUUGCGCGGGCAGUGGGUACGGGCUGACUAGAGUGCAGUAGGGGAGUCUGGAAUUCCUGGUGUAGCGGUGAAAUGCGCAGAUAUCAGGAGGAACACCGGUGGCGAAGGCGGGACUCUGGGCUGUAACUGACACUGAGGAGCGAAAGCAUGGGGAGCGAACAGGAUUAGAUACCCUGGUAGUCCAUGCCGUAAACGUUGGGCACUAGGUGUGGGGGGCAUUCCACGUUCUCCGCGCCGUAGCUAACGCAUUAAGUGCCCCGCCUGGGGAGUACGGUCGCAAGGCUAAAACUCAAAGGAAUUGACGGGGGCCCGCACAAGCGGCGGAGCAUGCGGAUUAAUUCGAUGCAACGCGAAGAACCUUACCAAGGCUUGACAUACACUGGACCGUUCUGGAAACAGUUCUUCUCUUUGGAGCUGGUGUACAGGUGGUGCAUGGUUGUCGUCAGCUCGUGUCGUGAGAUGUUGGGUUAAGUCCCGCAACGAGCGCAACCCUCGUUCUAUGUUGCCAGCACGUGAUGGUGGGAACUCAUAGGAGACUGCCGGGGUCAACUCGGAGGAAGGUGGGGAUGACGUCAAAUCAUCAUGCCCUUUAUGUCUUGGGCUUCACGCAUGCUACAAUGGCUGGUACAGAGAGAGGCGAACCCGUGAGGGUGAGCGAAUCCCUUAAAGCCAGUCUCAGUUCGGAUCGUAGUCUGCAAUUCGACUACGUGAAGUCGGAGUCGCUAGUAAUCGCAGAUCAGCAACGCUGCGGUGAAUACGUUCCCGGGCCUUGUACACACCGCCCGUCAAGUCACGAAAGUCGGUAACACCCGAAGCCGGUGUCCUAACCUCCUUGUGGGGAGGGGGCCGUCUAAGGUGGGACUGGUGAUUGGGACUAAGUCGUAACAAGGUAGCCGUACCGGAAGGUGCGGCUGGAUCACCUCCUUUCUAAGGA